rnacentral:rRNA from 1 species
GACGAACGCUGGCGGCAUGCCUAACACAUGCAAGUCGAGCGAGUAGAUCCCUUCGGGGUGAAGCUAGCGGCGGACGGGUGAGUAACACGUGGGCAACCUGCCUCAUAGAGGGGAAUAGCCUUCCGAAAGGAAGAUUAAUACCGCAUAAGAUUGUAGUACCGCAUGGUAUAGCAAUUAAAGGAGUAAUCCGCUAUGAGAUGGGCCCGCGGCGCAUUAGCUAGUCGGUGAGGUAACGGCUCACCAAGGCGACGAUGCGUAGCCGACCUGAGAGGGUGAUCGGCCACAUUGGGACUGGGACACGGCCCAGACUCCUACGGGAGGCAGCAGUGGGGAAUAUUGCACAAUGGGGGAAACCCUGAUGCAGCAAUGCCGCGUGAGUGAUGACGGCCUUCGGGUUGUAAAGCUCUGUCUUCGGGGACGAUAAUGACGGUACCCGAGGAGGAAGCCACGGCUAACUACGUGCCAGCCGCCGCAGUAA